rnacentral:tRNA from 1 species
GCCUCCGUAGCUCAGUUGGUAGAGCAGCUGUCUUGUAAACAGCAGGUCGCGGGUUCGAUCCCUGUCGGGGGCU